UACAGGGGGGCAAGCGUUGUUCGGAAUUACUGGGCGUAAAGGGUCUGUAGGUGGCCAACUAAGUCAAACGUGAAAUCCCUCAGCUUAACUGGGGAACUGCGUCUGAUACUGGAUGGCUCGAGUGUGGGAGAGGAAUGCGGAAUUCCAGGUGUAGCGGUGAAAUGCGUAGAUAUCUGGAAGGAACACCGGUGGCGAAGGCGGCAUUCUGGACCACAACUGACACUGAGAGACGAAAGCCAGGGAGCAAACGGG
rnacentral:rRNA from 1 species